GACAGAGGGUGCAAGCGUUGUUCGGAAUCAUUGGGCGUAAAGCGCACGUAGGCGGCGCUGCAAGUCGGAUGUGAAAUCCCGAAGCUCAACUUCGGAAGUGCAUCCGAAACUGCAGCGCUUGAGUCCCGGAGAGGGCGGUAGAAUUCCCAGUGUAGAGGUGAAAUUCGUAGAUAUUGGGAGGAAUACCAGUGGCGAAGGCGACCGCCUGGACGGAGACUGACGCUGAGGUGCGAAAGCGUGGGGAGCAAAC
rnacentral:rRNA from 1 species